GUAAGGCACAAAAUGAGUAGGCCACUACGCCUUCCCUCAAGAGGUUCACAGUGGCAUGUACCAGACUGCAAAAAGACAUUGUUCUAUUAGAUUCUUUCUACUGAUGUCGGAGAAUCCAGUCUGCAAGACAGAAGACCUUAGAAAUGUUCAGCAAAGCAUAUGGAGAAUCCUUGAGCCAAAGCCACCCAUCCAAGGAGCUCAUGUCUCUCUGCCAUGCAUAGUCACUGGCUGGAAUCAGUCCGUGAGAAGCAUGGCCGUGGUGGGGUAAAUGUGAGCAUGGAUUUCAGAUUGCCGUAGCGGGACUGUUGUCAACCCCAGUCCUUGCAGUGCAGAAGUGAGACGUGCAUUCUCAUGGCUGCCACAGCCCUAUAUCCUCGUGACUUUUCUUACCUGGAGAAAUGAAAAACACUACUUUGGGGUUAAAUGGCACGCCUGAGAUCCUAGCACGAGGGAAUCUAGAUGACAACCCAGGCUGCAGAUUCCCAGUGUGUCUCACAUGGAAAAACCAAAACUAAAACCUACCACUCUGAAUGGCAAAAAGCGA